AGAGUUUGAUCAUGGCUCAGGAUGAACGCUGGCGGCGUGCCUAACACAUGCAAGUCGAACGAAGCACAUUGGAUUGAUUCUUCGGAAGAAAGAGAAUGUGACUGAGUGGCAGACGGGUGAGUAACGCGUGGGUAACCUGCCUCAUACAGGGGGAUAACAGUUAGAAAUGACUGCUCAACCGCAUAAGACCACGGAGUCGCAUGACUCAGUGGGAAAAACUCCGGUGGUAUGAGAUGGACCCGCGUCUGAUUAGGUAGUUGGUGGGGUAACGGCCUACCAAGCCGACGAUCAGUAGCCGACCUGAGAGGGUGACCGGCCACAUUGGGACUGAGACACGGCCCAAACUCCUACGGGAGGCAGCAGUGGGGAAUAUUGCACAAUGGGGGAAACCCUGAUGCAGCGACGCCGCGUGAGCGAAGAAGUAUUUCGGUAUGUAAAGCUCUAUCAGCAGGGAAGAAAAUGACGGUACCUGACUAAGAAGCACCGGCUAAAUACGUGCCAGCAGCCGCGGUAAUACGUAUGGUGCAAGCGUUAUCCGGAUUUACUGGGUGUAAAGGGAGCGUAGACGGCUGUGUAAGUCUGAAGUGAAAGCCCGGGGCUCAACCCCGGGACUGCUUUGGAAACUAUGCAGCUAGAGUGUCGGAGAGGUAAGUGGAAUUCCCAGUGUAGCGGUGAAAUGCGUAGAUAUUGGGAGGAACACCAGUGGCGAAGGCGGCUUACUGGACGAUGACUGACGUUGAGGCUCGAAAGCGUGGGGAGCAAACAGGAUUAGAUACCCUGGUAGUCCACGCCGUAAACGAUGACUACUAGGUGUCGGGUGUCACAGACAUUCGGUGCCGCAGCAAACGCAAUAAGUAGUCCA
rnacentral:rRNA from 1 species